rnacentral:tRNA from 1 species
GCCCUCGUAGUUCAAUGGAUUAGAACAAAUCCGUCCUAAGGAUAAAAUGUGGGUUCGAUUCCUGCCGAGGGCA